GACAUCUGCAUCGCACACAUACACAUGUUCCGGAGCUGGGGCUGGCUGCGGAUUCCUGCCUCGCAGGAAAACCCGUGCGUCUUUUCAGCCGAACGUGUGAAGAAGCCCCUAAAACGGUGGCAAACGAACCAGAAAUGAUCAGAUGGGUUGAAUUGAUUGGUUUAGAUAUACGGAUCUCUCUUUCUCUCUGAAUUCAUUUGAGCAGAGAACUUUACCCGAAUUUUCAGGACAGCUUCUGCGGGAAUAUGCGUGUGAGAGAGGCAGAGAUGCGUGCAGAGAAAAAGAGAGGGAAAAGGCUGGCCAGAAGUUGCCCGUUUCUUCUGAAGGCGGCUCUGUGUGCUGUGAGGGGAAGUAAGUAGCAGAGCAAAGCCGGGGUUCUGAUAAAGUGGCUAGCUUAGAGAAGGAAAAGCUGUGAUUAGAAUAUGAAUAGAGCUCCAGGAGAGGAAGAGAAAGGGGGAUUACGGCUGAAUUACUUUGACCAUGGACAGAGCCAACGCGCUCGGGGAAAAGAGCCCCUCCUCUCAUUCCUUCCCCUCCUUUCCCUGUUGCUUUCCCUUUCCCUAUAUUCCCUUUAAAGUAAGAGGAGGGAGCGCAGGCUAGUAACCCAUCCCUGUAUUACCAUCGUCCAACUUUUAAAGGUCCCAUGAAAAAUCUCCAGAGGGAUGAAACAUAUUUCUAGCAGAUUUGUUAACAGCUUUUUGUUUUGUACUUUUCAGUAAUUCUGAGCGGCCACUGAUUCUUUUCCCCGCCUUAAGAACAAAUGUUGAAGGACGGGUGUGUGCUGGGCCAUGUUAGGGGAAAAUAAGAAAAUUGGCAGAUCAAAGGCCAAGGGGAAAGAUGCUCAGGAAAACCAAAGCUGGAAGAAAGAGCUAGAGAGGAUGUCUGGAUAAUAAAUUCCAAUGAGGUGGUGUGUUGUUUUUUUAAGCAGUACUGGAGUCUAAUCUCACACGGAGAAAACGCUGGAGAUCAAGGUGAAAAUAAAUGUUUAAUGUUCCAAAUGGCUUCAACAAGCCAGGAACGGGACAUUGAUCUGGAAGCAGCAGAUCUCGCUGCUUGUUGGUAGAAUUCAUCAAAGGGUUCUCCUGGCCCAGGUAUGCAGAGGGAGAGGAGCGCUCAUCAACAAAUACAACCACCACCACCCAUACAAAAAGUGGCUUGCUCUUUUCUGUCAAGUCGGAACUGACUUAAUAGCAACCCGGAGAGGGGUUUCAAGCCCCUUUCACCAUUAUUUUGCAGCAUCAUACAUGAUGAAGGAAUCUUUAGGUAAGACACACAACUUUAUAGUUUUGUCUGUUUUUAUAACGGCAAUGAAGGUAUCAAGGUAA
rnacentral:lncRNA from 1 species